rnacentral:lncRNA from 1 species
AUGUACCCUCAAUCAAUCCGUCAAUGUUAGGAGGGGAUAAACGAUCUUUCGGUAGACUUUGUUCAAGUCAAUGAAGUUCGUGUAAAGCCUCCACUAACUGCUUGAUUGUUUUUACUAUCACCACAUUUGCAAGCCAUGUGGUGUACCUUACUUCCCUGAUAACCUUUUCUAAUUUUCUUACCUCGACCUUCGAGACCCGUCGUCUUUCCUCUCCUAGCCGGCGAUUCUUUCAAGCAAAUGGUCAAGCUUCCUUCAAAAUGGCGAGCUUGUGAGACAUACCCUAGGGUCAAUGCCCAACAUGCAUGCAUCUUUAAAUUUUUAUCAACAAUGAUAUCAAAUGAAUUUAAAUCUAACAUGGUUUCUUGUUCUGGCAACCUUUCUUUUUGUUCUACAACUAAGUCAAAAAAUAUCACCACUGAAAUUCUACUUUUAUUUUUCACAUAAACAAACUUGAUGUGUGGAGCAUGUGGCUUUAACUCAACAUCCUCAGGUGCAUUAGGAUGGUUAAUAGGAUCAUCAAUAAUCCUUAUAAUCUCAUCUUGUGAGCAAAAGUCUACACCUGAAGUAGUUGACUCUGCUGCUUCAGCAUUAACAAAUUCAACAACACCUUUAGUAAAAUUUGUAUAUCCAUCGGUAGACAUAUCAGCGUGAUGUGAUUCUAUAAUUGGUUGUUGUUUUGAUCUUUUAGCAAAAUUAGCUUCCACUCUGUCAAACCUCUGAUUCAAUUCCUUAAUCCUUUUCAUCAAUUCAAUAUUCUCAACCCAUAUCUUCAAAAGAAUUUGAAACUCAGGACCAUUUAGUUGACGUAUAGUAAACUAUUUCUAUUUUGUUUCAUUCCAAUUCUGAUUCUGAUUUACAUUCUAUGCAGUCUUUUAUGUUUCUAUUGUUUUAAUGGUGACUUUAGAUUGUUGAAUGUUUUAAAUACUGUUAAUUAGAGUUUGUUUUGAGUUUUAAAGCUUUGAUCAAUUGAUUUGCUUACAUGACACACUUUCUGAUUGAUAUUUUUUUUGUGUUUAGAUUUUCAUUACAGUUUUAUUUUCAUUCAUUCUGGUUCUCUGCUUGGCAUUACAUUUUUAUUCAUUCUUGGAUGCAUUUUUUUGGUUGAAUUGCGUUGAAUGUAGAUAAGCAUUGUUCAUUCGAUUUUGUUAGGCAAUUGAGUUAGUUUAGGUAUUGGUUCUGAUAUUAGGUGCUAGUUCUAUUCCUUUUGAUUCAAUUUGUACAGUUAAUAUUAUAGAUUUUGAUUUCUGGAAAUUUUGAUUUGUAUGGAUGAUUUUUUCUUGAAUCUAGUUUUUGAUAGUUUUGCUUUUGUUUACUAUUAGCUUAGGUACAUCAUACUAGUUUUAGUUUUUGAUUCUGUAUCUGUUUUAGGUAGUUUAAAUUUCUAUUUUUCUUUUAUUUUAUUUUCCUUACAUUUUUUUCUUUUCUUUUUAAAACAGAUUUCUUUUCUUAUUCAUUUUCUUUUCAAAUUUCUUUAUUUUCAUUUCAUUUCUUUCCCCACCUUGUAUGUUAGUUAGUAAUAAUUAGAAAAUAAAAGCAAGAAUUAACCAAACAUUUUAAACUUAAUUUCAAUGAGUCCUUGGAUUGAUCCUUGGUUGACCCCUAUACUUCAUUAGUGGGGAAACUGAGUUUGUUCUGAUUUUAGGCGACAAAAAUCAGUUUCAACAAAUGGCGUCGUUGCCGGGGACUUUGGCGACUUAAGUUUAGAUUGUAGAGUUAACCUUGUAGGUUUCUGUUUUUCUUUUUCUUUGUGUUUAGUUUUUGCUUUUCUAUUUUACCAUUAGUAUCUACAGUUUUAAUUUUUACAUAGUUGCUAUUCUUCAUGUUAUUUUCUUGUAGUUUUUUUAAGUAUAAAUUUCUGAAUAGUGACCCAGAGCUGAGAACAGGAUGUGUGUGUGAUAUAUGAAUAUGUGAAAGGAUGUGCGUGUGAUAUAUGAAUAUGUGAAAUAACUAGUUCUCUUGCAGUUUGAGUGCUGAAAGUGCAUGACCAGGGCCAACCACAACCCUCUCUAUACAUUGGAUCCAGAGAUUGGCAGAACCAGGAAAGGGAUCAAGAAGGAAAGAAUCCAGAGUAGAUCUAAAAGCACUGGAUCAGUCUUGGAAGUGUCAGAUUCAUCCGAAACUGAGGAGAUGGCUACUGGACCAAGGGAAAGAACAUUGAAGGAGUUGGCCAAUCAAGACAUUGGGUAUCAGCCCCUGUGCAUUCAAGUACCUCACGUCCAAGGAGCUCCCACCUUUGAUUUAAGGUCUAGAUUCAUCCAACUACUUCCCAAAUUUCACGGGUCAGCAGGGGAGGAUCCUCACAAGCAUAUAAUGGAGUUCACUAUCCUCACAAGCAUAUAAUGGAGUUCACUGUGAUUUGCUCAACCAUGAGACCACUAGACGUACCUGAGGAGAUUGUUAAAAUGAAAGCCUUCCCAUUUUCCCUGCAAGGUGCUGCCAAGGAGUGGCUGUUUUCAUAGCAUAUACCUAUAACCAACUGGGGAGAUAUGAAGAGAAAAUUCCUGGAAAGAUUUUUCCCAGCAUCUAGAACAGUGGCAUUAGGCAGCUGCCUGGAGAGAACCUGUUUGAGUAUUCGGAGCGCUUUAAUAGACUAUGUUCCACCUGCCCCAAACACCAGAUCAAUGAACAGUUGCUGCUGCAGUACUUUUAUGAAGGGUUGCUGCCUCAAGAAAGAAACAUGAUAGAUGCAACAAGCGGAGGCACUCUCAUGGACAAGACACCUUCUGCAGCAAGGAGUUUAAUUGCAAACAUGACUGAAAACUAUCAGCACACCUACACAAGAAGUGGCAGUAGUAGAAGAGUCCAUGAGAUGCAGCUGAAUGCAAUCUCUAAUGCACAGGGACUGGUACCCAAUGUCUUGAUUGGCCAACUCCUUCAAUGUUCUUUCCCUUGGUCCAGUAGCCAUCUCCUCAGUUUCUGAUGAAUCUGACACUUCCAAGACUGAUCCAGUGCUUUCAAAUCGACUCUGGAUUCUUUCCUUCUUGAUCCCUUUCCUGGUUCUGCCAAUGAUCCAAUGUAUAGAGAGGGAUGUGGUUGGCCCUGUUCAUGCACUUUCAGCAAUCAAACUACAGGAGCAAACGCUCAGGGUCACUAUUCAGAAAUUUAUACUAAAAAAAACUACAAGAAAAUAACAUGAAGAAUAACAACUAUGUACAAAUUAAAACUGCAAAUACUAAUGGUAAAAUAGAAAAGCAAAAACUAAACACAAAGAAAAAGAAAAACAGAAACCUACAAGGCUAACUCUACAAUCUAAACUUAAGUCGCCAAAGUCCCCGACAACGACGCCAUUUGUUGAAACUGAUUUUUGUCGCCUAAAAUCAGAACAAACUCAGUUUCCCCACUAAUGAAGUAUAGGGGUCAACCAAGUAUCAAUCUAAGGACUCAUUGAAUUAAGUUUAAAAUGUUUGGUUAAUUCUUGCUUUUAUUUUCUAAUUAUUACUAACUAACAUACAAGGUGGGGAAAGAAAUGAAAUGAAAAUAAAGAAAUUUGAAAGAAAAUGAAUAAGAAAAGAAAUAUGUUUUAAAAAGAAAAGAAAAUAAAAUGUAAGGAAAAUAAAAUAAAAGAAAAAUAGAAAUUUAAACUACCUAAAACAGAUACAGAAUCUAAAACUAAAACUAGUAUGAUGUACCUAAGCUAAUAGUAAAAAGAAGGAAAACUAUCAAUCCUAGUCUACUAGAUUCAAGAAGAAAUUAUCCAUACAAAUCAAAAUUUCCAGAAAUCAAAAUCUAUAAUAUUAACUGUACAAAUCUCAAAAAUUGAAUCAAAAGGAAUAGAACUAGCACCUAAUACCAGAACAAGUACCUAAACUAACUCAAUUACCUAACAAAAUCGAAUGAACAAUGCUUAUCUACAUUCAAUGCAAUUCAACCAAAAAAAUGCAUCGAAAAAUGAACAAAAAUGUAAUGCCAAGCAGAGAACCAGAAUGAAUGAAAAUAAAACUGUAAUGAAAAUCUAAACACAAAAAAAAUAUUAAUCAGAAAGCGUGUCAUGUAAGCAAAUCAAUUGAUCAAAGCUUUAAAACUCAAAACAAACUCUAAUUAACAGUAUUUAAAACAUUCAACAAUCUAAAGUCACAAUUAAAACAAUAGAAACGUAAAAGACUGCAUAGAAUGUAAAUCAAAAUCAGAAUUGGAAUGAAAUAAAAUAGAACUAAUGUAGAAAAGUAAAAAUACAAAGUAAAGUCUCCGAGCACGAUCAAGACCUCCACGGGCUGUCACCACCGUGAGCCUCGAUCACAAGUCCAAGAACCAGAAUCUACUCUACACAAAGCAAUAAACCUAAAACUAAGAACAUGAAAUCAGAAGAAAACGAGAAACCCUAAGCACGCUCUCAAAGUCUCUCGGGUGGAGUCUGUCACCCUCCACCACAUACAAUCGUUCGCAGAGUCUGUCACCCUCUCACGAUUCCCACUAAAAUUCUAUUUACAUACCUUUUUAUAGGGUCCAUAAACAGAGUAGAGAAAGAAAAAGGGAAGAAGGGAUGGAGAACCUUCGACGCUUCGCUCAACAUGAUCCAAUGCUCCUCCUUGCGAGUCUCUUCGUUUCACAUUUUCUCAACCCUUCGAUCAACUCCUUCCUCUUUGCUAAUCUGAUCUUCUCUACACGUGCAUCGGUCUGUCAACAUCAAUCUGAGUAAGUGGCAACAAGGAGCUCCUUCUUCUUUCUCGAAAUCGCACGCACAAACCCUAACUCAAGGGUGAUCCAAUUUUCUCUUUUUGCCAGAAUGAUGUGCCUGUGCAGAAUAACCCCCUGAGGCAACAACUUCAGCCUCUCCAAAACGACACCGUUCCUUUUAGUUGGAACCAACCCAUGCAAAGUGUAGCGCCACAAAAUUGCCAGCUCAAUCUCUCAAAAGCAACAACAGCCCAAUCUUGAAAUGCAGCAGCAUUGCAGUGGCC